UACGUAGGUGGCAAGCGUUGUCCGGAAUUAUUGGGCGUAAAGCGCGCGCAGGCGGUUAUGUAAGUCUGAUGUUAAAGCCCGGGGCUCAACCUCGGUUCGCAUUGGCAACUGCGUAACUUGAGUGCAGAAGAGGAAAGUGGUAUUCCACGUGUAGCGGUGAAAUGCGUAGAUAUGUGGAGGAACACCAGUGGCGAAGGCGUCUUUCUGGUCUGUAACUGACGCUGAGGCGCGAAAGCGUGGGGAGCAAACAGG
rnacentral:rRNA from 1 species